AGAGUUUGAUCAUGGCUCAGAGCGAACGUUGGCGGCGCGCUUAACACAUGCAAGUCGCACGAGAAAAGGGGCAACCCUGAGUAGAGUGGCGCACGGGUGCGUAACACGUAGGCAAUCUUCCCUCAGGAGGGGGAUAACCAUCCGAAAGGAUGGCUAAUACCGCGUAAGACCACAGCUGCUUCGGCAGCAGGGGUCAAAGGGGGCCUCUCCAUGGAAGCUCUCACCUGAGGACGAGCCUGCGGCCCAUCAGCUAGUUGGUAGGGUAAUGGCCUACCAAGGCUAAGACGGGUAGCUGGUCUGAGAGGAUGAUCAGCCACACUGGCACUGAAACACGGGCCAGACUCCUACGGGAGGCAGCAGUGGGGAAUAUUGGACAAUGGGCGAAAGCCUGAUCCAGCGACGCCGCGUGGGUGAUGAAGGCCUUCGGGUUGUAAAGCCCUGUGGGCAGGGAAGAAAACGUUGCGGUCAAAUAGGCCGCGACCUUGACGGUACCUGCUCAGAAAGCACCGGCUAACUCUGUGCCAGCAGCCGCGGUAAUAC
rnacentral:rRNA from 1 species